GACGAACGCUGGCGGCGUGGAUUAGGCAUGCAAGUCGAACGGUAGGAUCCUUUCGGGGAUCUGAGAGUGGCGAACGGGUGAGUAACACGUAGGUGAUCUACCCUCAAGACGGGGACAACCCAGGGAAACUUGGGCUAAUACCGGAUGUGAGCUAUCGUGAGAUAGUUUGAAAGGUGGCUUCGGCUGCCGCUUGAGGAUGAGCCUGCGUCCUAUUAGCUAGUUGGUGAGGUAACGGCUCACCGAGGCAGUGAUAGGUAGGCGGCCUUAACGGGUGGUCGCCCACACUGGGAUUGAGAUACGGCCCAGACUCCUACGGGAGGCAGCAGUCGAGAAUAGUCUACAAUGGUCGAAAGACUGAUAGUGCGACGCCGCGUGAACGAAGAAGCCCUUCGGGUGUAAAGUUCUUUUAUAUGUGAGCAGUGACACCCAUAUUAAUAGUAUGGGUGUAGAGAUAUUAGCAUAUGAAUAAGCAACGGCUAACUCCGUGCCAGC
rnacentral:rRNA from 1 species